CCUACGGGUGGCUGCAGUGGGGAAUAUUGGACAAUGGGCGAAAGCCUGAUCCAGCCAUGCCGCGUGUGUGAAGAAGGCCUUCGGGUUGUAAAGCACUUUCAGUGGGGAAGAAAGCCUUGGGGCUAAUACCCUCGAGGAAGGACAUCACCCACAGAAGAAGCCCCGGCUAACUCCGUGCCAGCAGCCGCGGUAAUACGGAGGGUGCGGGCGUUAAUCGGAAUUACUGGGCGUAAAGCGCGCGUAGGCGGUCUGAUAAGCCGGUUGUGAAAGCCCCGGGCUCAACCUGGGAACGGCAUCCGGAACUGUCAGGCUAGAGUGCAGGAGAGGAAGGUAGAAUUCCCGGUGUAGCGGUGAAAUGCGUAGAGAUCGGGAGGAAUACCAGUGGCGAAGGCGGCCUUCUGGACUGACACUGACGCUGAGGUGCGAAAGCGUGGGUAGCAAACAGGAUUAGAUACCCGUGUAGUC
rnacentral:rRNA from 1 species